AUGAACAAAGCUGUUUAAGAAAAUAAUAUAACUGCAUUCUUGUUCACCGUUAUUUUUGUUGUUGAGCUGUGCUUUGAAACUGUCUAUUUCAGUGUCUCAAAGAUAUGUUCCCUCUCGAUGUGGCAAACCAACCAAAUAUCCUGACAAGCAGCUGCACAGAAAACAUCUCCAAAGAGUAGAGUUCAAUCAUGGAGAAAUAGUGUUGUAUAUAUGUGCCCCGGGUUACGAACCAUUCGCAGGAAGUCGAACAUCACAGUGUGUGCACGGAAAAUGGAAAACCUUGAACAUGGAAUGCCAAAAGAAGAAGUGCAAUGCGCUUGGUGACAUAGAGAACGGGCGAUACGAUCAAGAAGGGCGAUCAUUGGGUGAUAAAGCCAUUGCUGUGUGUAAUGAAGGGUAUUUGAAUCUUUUUUUCUUGUUUUUUAAGUCUGCAGUCCAUAAAUUGGUGAAAACAUGGUUCAUUGAUAAUAAAUAGAAAAGGUAGAAUAAAUGUUUUUGACUUGGUUCA
ensembl:lncRNA